GCAAUAAUGUUCAGCAAAGUAAGAUUUACAAAUAAGUCAACGUGACCGAAAUGGUCAAUUGACCUCUUAUGGAGUUAUUGCCCUUUAUAGUCAAUUUUUAACCAUUUUUUGUAAAUCUUUGUUUUCUUUUACAAAAAUCUUCUCCUCUGAAACUACUGGGCCAAAAUAAUCCAAACUUGGCCACAAUCAUCUUUGGGGUAUCUAGUUUUAAAAAUGUGUCCCGUGACCCGGCCAACCAACCAAGAUGGCCGCCAUGGCUAAAAAUAGAACAUAGGGGUAAAAUGCAGUCUUUGGCUUAUAACUCAAAAACCAAAGCAUCUAGAGCAAAUCUGACAGGGGUAAAAUUGUUGAUCAGGUCAAAAUCUAUCUGCCCUGAAAUUUUCAGAUGAAUCGGACAACCCGUUGUUAGGUUGCUGCCCCUGAAUUGGUAAUUUUAAGGAAAUUUUGCUGUUUUUAUUGGUUAUUAUCUUGAAUAUUAUUAUAGAUAGAGAUAAACUGUAAACAGCAAUAAUGUUCAGCAAAGUAAGAUUUACAAAUAAGUCAACAUGACCGAAAUGGUCAAUUGACCCCUAAGGAGUAUUGUCCUUAUAGUCAAUUUUUAACAAUUUUCAUAAAAUUUGUAAAUUUUUAUUAACAUUUUCCACUAAAACUACUGGGCAAAGUUCAUUAUAGAUAGAGAUAAUUGUAAGCAGCAAGACUGUUUAGUAAAGUAAGAUGUACAAACACAUCAACAUCACCAAAACACAAUUUUGUCAUGAAUCCAUCUGCUUCCUUUGUUUAAUAUUCACAUAGACCAAGGUGAGCGACA
rnacentral:lncRNA from 1 species